CUCCCCCGUUGCAAAUUCUGGAAUUUUUAGUAUCGGUUCCAGAUCUCUUUCGAUUUUGGGGAUGAUUUCAAAAUUUGAGAUUUUGAAAUGUCUUGGUCCUUAUCCGAAAUUUCCCUAGGUUUUCCCCCCAUUUUACUAACCCUAAUAUUUCCCUAUAUAAUAUCUGUUUUGUCAUUUUGAGGGGGAGAGAUUCUUCUGUUGGAAAAAAAGGCGAGAAGAGAAAGUUGAAUUUUUCUUUAGAAAUUAGCAUAGUGAAGAAGCUAAAGAAGUACACACGAAACACAUUCUAGGAAAGGAAGAGUUACUUGGUUUCGAUCUGAGAGUCCCUAUAUCAUCUCGUUUACCAUUGUUUUACCCAAGUUUCUUCGAGACUCUGCUUUGUUUUCUGGUCGGUAGUUCAUGUUCAAGUUUUGUGGCGUGGAAUUCGUUGCACGUUCUUCGCUCGUCUUGUUCGGUAUCGCUGCACCAAAAGAGGUGUCUUCGGACUUCAAACUCCGGAUUUCAAAUGGAAAAGGGAAUCUUAUCACUUCAGCCGGGUACGCAUUUGGGCCCCAUCGUGAAGUUAUUGCCCCUUCUUCUUGCAUUAUUGUUUCUGGAAUCUGAUUCAACAUCCUUUAUCUUAUCUUUUUUCUUGAAUACGACGCGUCCCAACAGUUUUUCCACAUGUGUGGUAGUGAGUAAAGUGGG
rnacentral:misc_RNA from 1 species